rnacentral:ncRNA from 1 species
UCAUGAAUUAACAUUUGGAUCAUUAGUAAAUACGACCGAUCACAGAGAGCCUGUCAUGCUGAGAACCAGGUAUCGAAGUCAUUUACGAACCUACCAAUUGACUUUAUCGUUGUAAUGACGAUACGCAUAUCGGCGUUAAUGAUUUGAGUGAAUCUUUAUAUUGAAGAUUAAUUAAGGUGGUACCACGGAAAGCUGUUUCGUCCUUUUA